rnacentral:sRNA from 1 species
GUUUCAAUUCCUCAUAGGCAGGCUAUCGGCAGGUUGGACGCCAUCUAUGCUCAAGCAAGUCUAUAUAAAG